rnacentral:rRNA from 1 species
GACGGAGGGUGCUAGCGUUGUUCGGAAUGACUGGGCGUAAAGGGCGCGUAGGCGGCUCGUGAAGUCGGGUGUGAAAGCCCGGGGCUCAACCCCGGAACGGCAUCCGAUACUGGCGGGCUUGAGACCGGGAGAGGAGGGUGGAAUACCCAGUGUAGAGGUGAAAUUCGUAGAUAUCGGGAGGAACACCAGUGGCGAAGGCGGCUUCCUGGCCUGUUCUUGACGCUGAGGCGCGAAAGCUAGGGGAGCAAACGGGG